rnacentral:lncRNA from 1 species
ACCUAUGUAGUUAGCAAAAACCUUUUGGUUGCUGUGUUUAGGAGGAAAGGACCACCCACUCUGGAGUAUGUAAGGGAUGGCAGUUGUCUUUGAGAUGGAGCAGACUGGUCACUCAGAAUCCACAAAGAGGAAGUGGAGCCUGUGCUAUUUUCUCUCCAGUGCAGCGGGGCUGCUCUUCUUCCUCUAGUUGCUUAUUGGGCUUAUUGCCUUCCUCACUUGGAAAGACUGUGUGACUGGAGAAGCAGAAUAAGUAAGCUGAGUGGAGAGAAAAAAAUGGCCACACAAACCCCUGAAUAAACGAUCUUGUUAAAGAAACCACAGGAGAGAAGUCCUUUCUUCUGAUGUGGCUGCGUCUGGCCGAGGGGGAAACCCGCGUCGGGAGCCAAGUCUUUGUUCAGAGUAGCUGCUGCCUGCGUCCUGCUCAGCUCCAAGGUGCUGCGGGAUGCUCCAGUACAGAUUUGAAGCAGAGCUGUACAGCUGCUGAAUUGCUUUUUGAGAGAGGAGGAGAGAACACCAAGGAAUUACUCGUACAGCAGCUUUGCUCCCAUCCUGCCGUUGGUAUGAUACACACACGGUGCUCGUGGCUGUUCUCAGGACGCUCUCGGUGUCCCUUCGCUGACAGAGUGAGAGUGCUACGGGCUCCUAUCUGCAGUCCAAGGAAGUCGAUGCAGRUCAGA